UUUCGGGCUGUCCAAGGUUUGCCGUCUGAUGAACACCACAGAUAGUUGCAUGGAGAUGGUGUGAAUUUCAGCUUGUUAUGCAAUUGGUUACAAGGCUUAUAAUUAGUUGUCACAUUUAGAAAAGAUGAGCUCAACAUCGAAAAUAGCAUCUUCUGUUUAUUAUUUGCUUGCCUGCCUCCAGCUCAUGGUAUUUUCCUAUGCAAUUGGUUACAGGACCCAUUUGAAUUCCAGUGUAUUUUUUACCAUGAGAAGCUGACAGCACAUGAUGUUGUGCAUUUCUUGUGUGGAACAUGAAGUAUAUAGAUAGAUCAUGUCCGUGGACUGAAAGCUCUCCUUCCACAGCUUUUCUAACCAAGAAAAGCAAGCACCCAUGAUCAAGAACCCCACCAUGCCAUUCUCCCAUCAGCUGACCGCACGACGCAUGCGGCUGGCCAAGUAUUCCCCCAUGGGACGAUGUGCUGAGGGUCUUCUUUGUUGUCGUCAUCUGCUGGCGGUCAAGGCCGGAGGACCCGAUGGGGACUACACGUGG